rnacentral:rRNA from 1 species
ACGUCUGGCGGCGUGCCUAACACAUGCAAGUCUGACUGGAACGUCUCCUUCGGGAGACUAUUACAGUGGCGGACGGGUGAGUAACGCGUGGGAAUCUACCCGGUAGUGGGGGAUAACCCUCCGAAAGGAGGGCUAAUACCGCAUAAGUCUUACGAGGUAAAGAUGGCCUCUUUACAAUGCUAUCGCUUCCGGAUGAGCCCGCGUCCUAUUAGCUAGUUGGCAAGGUAAUGGCUUACCAAGGCGACAAUGGGUAGCCGGUCUGAGAGGAUGAACGGCCACACUGGGACUGAGACACGGCCCAGACUCCUACGGGAGGCAGCAGUGGGGAAUUUUGCGCAAUGGGGGAAACCCUGACGCAGCAACGCCGCGUGAACGAUGAAGGCCUUCGGGUCGUAAAGUUCUGUUCUGGGGGAAGAAACAGCAAAAAGCCAAUACCUUUUUGCCUUGACGGUACCCCAGCAGAAAGCUCCGGCCAAUUAUGUGCCAGCAGCCGCGGUAAUACAUAAGGAGCAAGCGUUGUCCGGGAUCAUUGGGCGUAAAGAGCUCGUAGGCGGUACCGAAAGUCAGCUGUGAAAUCACCAGGCUCAACCUGGUAGGG